UUAACGCCAAUUUGUAUGGAGUUGGAAUGUUUUCCUACGUCUGCCGCUAGGGGCGCUGUUCCAACUCUAUCCAAAAUGUUA
rnacentral:pre_miRNA from 1 species